UGGCCCAGAUCGUUUACCGUGAAAAAAUUAGAGUGUUCAAAGCGGGCAGAUAUUUUUCCUGCCACCGAAUACAUUAGCAUGGGAUAAUGGAAUAGGACCCUGACCUCCUAUUUUCAGUUGGUUUUGUUUACAGUGAGGUUCAUCAGGGUAAUGAUUAAUAGGGAUAGUUGGGGGCAUUAAUAUUUAAUUGUCAGAGGUGAAAUUCUUGGAUUUAUGAAAGAUUAACUUCUGCGAAAGCGUUUGCCAAGGAUGUUUUCAUUAAUCAAGAACGAAAGUUAGGGGAUCGAAGACGAUCAGAUACCGUCGUAGUCUUAACCAUAAACGAUGCCGACCAGCGAUUAGGAGACGUUGAAUMCMMAACMCCGCUGUURAUSCUUCGAUCUAAAMYGCUC
rnacentral:rRNA from 1 species